rnacentral:lncRNA from 1 species
UUCACCUCACGGGAUCGACGCAGACGAGCAGAAAUCCACGCCUAAUACUGCGCCCAGCGUACUAGUACAUGGUAAUAAUUCCUCCGUUUAUUUUUACUCGCAUAUAAAAAUAGACGGGCUGUAUUAAAAGAGUUCGACCAGAUCUGGACUCUGGAGCAGCACACUGCCUCCUCAUCAGCUCAGAUCAGAUCCAUCCAAGAUAGUGUACGGGUACGUGUACAUAACCCAAAAACGGGAUCAAGAUCUGAAUAUCUGAUCUGCUGGUACCGGCGCUUGUCAGAUGAAACUGCAAGGAAAAUGUUAGUAGAUGUAAUUGUGGAGAUUAAAAAACGGGGGGGACUGGGGAGUGCACCGAAAAGAAGAGUAAAAAUAGUCCAAAGUGGAAGGAAUAUUAAACAACGGGGAGAUUAUAGUACAAAUGGAGGAGCACAACACCAACCCAACCAACCAAACAAUCUGUCCACGCCACACUCCCACACACCUACUGAAUCGAAUGCCUGAAAUGGAAUAGAAAUGGCCGAAAAAAAUUGAAAGAAAGAAAAAAGAAUAAUAAGAGAAAUGAACAGCUCAAGUGCUCCACACCACCACAGAUGAAGGAGGAGAAGAAGAGGGAGAGGAGAAGAGGAAUGGGGGCCCCUCGGAAUGGACGGGUAAUAAAUUAAUGGUGGCGCCUACGACCCGCGGCGGCCGGCGGAUCCCAGGGCUCCUCAGUAGAACGCGGCGGCGGCGGCCACGGCGGCGGCUGNNN